AGAGUUUGAUCCUGGCUCAGGAUGAACGCUAGCUACAGGCUUAACACAUGCAAGUCGAGGGGUAACGAUGCAGCUUGCUGCAGUCGACGACCGGCGCACGGGUGCGUAACACGUAUGCAACCUACCUAUAAUCGGGGGAUAAUCCGAAGAAAUUCGGUCUAAUACCCCAUAGUAUUAUUUAAAGGCAUCUUUAAAUAAUUAAAGGUAUUGUUCUGAUGAUAGAUGGGCAUGCGUAGGAUUAGUUAGUUGGUGAAGUAACGGCUCACCAAGGCAGCGAUCCUUAGGGGUUCUGAGAGGAAGGUCCCCCACACUGGUACUGAGACACGGACCAGACUCCUACGGGAGGCAGCAGUGAGGAAUAUUGGUCAAUGGGCGCGAGCCUGAACCAGCCAAGUAGCGUGAAGGAAGACUGCCCUAUGGGUUGUAAACUUCUUUUAUAUGUGGGUAAAGUGAGGUACGUGUACCUUAUUGCAAGUAACAUAUGAAUAAGCAUCGGCUAACUCCGUGCCAGCAGCCGCGGUAAUACGGAGGAUGCGAGCGUUAUCCGGAUUUAUUGGGUUUAAGGGGAGCGUAGGCGGGUUAAUAAGUCAGUUGUGAAAGUUUGCGGCUCAACCGUAAAAUUGCAGUUGGAACUGUUAGUCUUGAGUGUGGUGAAAGUAAGCGGAAUUUGUGGUGUAGCGGUGAAAUGCAUAGAUAUCACGAAGAACUCCAAUUGCGAAGGCAGCUUACUGUGCCAUAACUGACGCUGAGGCUCGAAAGUGUGGGUAUCAAACUGGAUUAGAUACCCUGGUAGUCCACACAGUAAACGAUGAAUACUCGCUGUUUGCGAUAUAGUGUAAGCGGCCAAGCGAAAGCGUUAAGUAUUCCACCUGGGGAGUACGCCGGCAACGGUGAAACUCAAAGGAAUUGACGGGGGCCCGCACAAGCGGAGGAACAUGUGGUUUAAUUCGAUGAUACGCGAGGAACCUUACCCGGGCUUGAAAUGUAGAGGAAUAAUCAAGAGAUUGAUUAGCUAGCAAUAGUCUCUAUGUAGGUGCUGCAUGGUUGUCGUCAGCUCGUGCCGUGAGGUGUCGGCUUAAGUGCCAUAACGAGCGCAACCCUUGUCGUUAGUUGCCAACAGGUAAAGCUGUGCACUCUAGCGAGACUGCCACCGUAAGGUGUGAGGAAGGUGGGGAUGACGUCAAAUCAGCACGGCCCUUACGUCCGGGGCGACACACGUGUUACAAUGGGAGGUACAGCAGGCAGCGACUAGGUGACUAGUAGCCAAUCCCGAAAUCCUCUCUCAGUUCGGAUCGGAGUCUGCAACUCGACUCCGUGAAGCUGGAUUCGCUAGUAAUCGCGCAUCAGCCAUGGCGCGGUGAAUACGUUCCCGGGCCUUGUACACACCGCCCGUCAAGCCAUGGAAGUCGGGGGGACCUGAAGCACGCCACCUAUGAGGAGCGUUCUAGGGUAAAACCGGUAACUGGGGCUAAGUCGUAACA
rnacentral:rRNA from 1 species